CCCGCCCCCGCAGGCUCAACAACCCGUUCCUGCCCCAGACCAGCCGCCUGCAGCCCAGGAGGGACCCGUCCCCCGUGUCCGGACCCCCGCACCUCUCCAGCCUUUCUGGCCAGUGCUUCAGCCUGGUAGAAGCCACGUACAAGUACGAGCUCUGCCCCUUCCACAACGUGACCCAGCACGAGCAGACCUUCCGCUGGAACGCCUACAGCGGGGUCCUGGGGUGAGUGGC